rnacentral:rRNA from 1 species
UACGGGGGGGGCAAGCGUUGUUCGGAAUUACUGGGCGUAAAGGGUUUGUAGGUGGCUUGCUAAGUCAGACGUGAAAUCCCUCAGCUUAACUGGGGAACUGCGUCUGAUACUGGCGAGCUUGAGUGCAGGAGAGGAACGCGGAAUUCCUGGUGUAGCGGUGAAAUGCGCAGAUAUCAGGAGGAACACCAGUGGCGAAGGCGGCUCACUGGCCCGAUACUGACGCUGAGGCGCGAAAGCGUGGGGAGCAAACAGG